CUUGUACUCCCUCCGUCCGAAAAUACUUGUCAUUGAAAUGGAUGUAUUUAGAUGUAUUUUAGUUCUAGACACAUCCAUUUUGAUGACAAGUAAUUCCGGACGGAGGGAGUACUUG
rnacentral:pre_miRNA from 1 species